GUGCUUGCUUCGGCAGCACAUACACUAAAAUUGGAAACGAUACAAGAGAAGAUUAGCAUGGCCCCUGCGCAAGGAUGACACGCAAAAAUGCAAUGAGCUCAUUCUUGUG
ensembl:snRNA U6 U6 spliceosomal RNA